rnacentral:rRNA from 1 species
UAAGGAAUAUUGGUCAAUGGGCGCAAGCCUGAACCAGCCAUGCCGCGUGAAGGAUGACGGCCCUAUGGGUUGUAAACUUCUUUUGUACGGGAAAAAACCUCUGGUCGAGAAUCAGAGCUGAUGGUACCGUAAGAAUAAGCAUCGGCUAACUCCGUGCCAGCAGCCGCGGUAAUACGGAGGAUGCAAGCGUUAUCCGGAUUCAUUGGGUUUAAAGGGUGCGCAGGCGGAAUAAUAAGUCAGCGGUGAAAGCCUACAGCUUAACUGUAGAACUGCCAUUGAUACUGUUAUUCUUGAGUGUUGUUGAGGUAGGCGGAAUGUGUCAUGUAGCGGUGAAAUGCUUAGAUAUGACACAGAACACCGAUCGCGAAGGCAGCUUACCAAGCAACAACUGACGCUCAUGCACGAAAGCGUGGGGAUCAAACA